UACGUAAGGUGCAAGCGUUGUCCGGAAUUAUUGGGCGUAAAGAGCUCGUAGGCGGUCUGUCGCGUCGGCUGUGAAAACUCGGGGCUCAACUCCGAGCUUGCAGUCGAUACGGGCAGGCUAGAGUUCGGCAGGGGAGACUGGAAUUCCUGGUGUAGCGGUGAAAUGCGCAGAUAUCAGGAGGAACACCGGUGGCGAAGGCGGGUCUCUGGGCCGAUACUGACGCUGAGGAGCGAAAGCGUGGGGAGCGAACAGG
rnacentral:rRNA from 1 species